UACGUAGGGGGCUAGCGUUGUCCGGAAUCAUUGGGCGUAAAGCGCGCGUAGGCGGCCCGGUAAGUCCGCUGUAAAAGUCAAAGGCUCAACCUUUGAAUGUCAGUGGAUACUGCCGGGCUAGAGUCCGGAAGAGGCGAGUGGAACUCCUGGUGUAGCGGUGGAAUGCGUAGAUAUCGGGAGGAACACCAAUGGCGAAGGCAGCACUCUGGGACGUGACUGACGCUGAGACGCGAAAGCGUGGGGAGCAAACAGGG
rnacentral:rRNA from 1 species